GAUGAACGCUGGCGGCGUGCCUAAUACAUGCAAGUCGAGCGAACAGAUGAGGAGCUUGCUCCUCUGACGUUAGCGGCGGACGGGUGAGUAACACGUGGAUAACCUACCUAUAAGACUGGGAUAACUUCGGGAAACCGGAGCUAAUACCGGAUAAUAUAUUGAACCGCAUGGUUCAAUAGUGAAAGACGGUUUUGCUGUCACUUAUAGAUGGAUCCGCGCCGCAUUAGCUAGUUGGUAAGGUAACGGCUUACCAAGGCAACGAUGCGUAGCCGACCUGAGAGGGUGAUCGGCCACCCUGGAACUGAGACACGGUCCAGACUCCUACGGGAGGCAGCAGUAGGGAAUCUUCCGCAAUGGGCGAAAGCUUGACGGAGCAACGCCGCGUGAGUGAUGAAGGUCUUCGGAUCGUAAAACUCUGUUAUUAGGGAAGAACAAAUGUGUAAGUAACUAUGCACGUCUUGACGGUACCUAAUCAGAAAGCCACGGCUAACUACGUG
rnacentral:rRNA from 1 species